rnacentral:rRNA from 1 species
GAUGAACGCUAGCGGCAGGCUUAAUACAUGCAAGUCGAGGGGCAGCGCGGGUAGCAAUACCUGGCGGCGACCGGCAAACGGGUGCGGAACACGUACGCAACCUUCCCAUAACUGGUGAAUAGCCCUCCGAAAGGAGGAUUAAUACACCGUAACAUAAAGAAGAGGCAUCUUUUUGUUAUUAUAGUAGCAAUACGGUUUUGGAGUGGCGUGCGCCUGAGUAGGUAGUUGGCGGGGUAACGGCCCACCAAGCCUGCGAUCAGUAACUGGUGUGAGAGCACGACCAGUCACACGGGCACUGAGACACGGGCCCGACUCCUACGGGAGGCAGCAGUAAGGAAUAUUGGUCAAUGGACGAAAGUCUGAACCAGCCAUGCCGCGUGAAGGAUUAAGGCCCUCUGGGUUGUAAACUUCUUUUAUCUGGGACGAAAAAAGGGCAUUCUUGCUCACUUGACGGUACCAGAGGAAUAAGCACCAGCUAACUCCGUGCCAGCCGCCGCCGUAA